rnacentral:piRNA from 1 species
UGUUUUGUGGUGUUUGACCUGUGCCUG